rnacentral:rRNA from 1 species
AAUGAACGCUGGCGGCGUGCUUAACACAUGCAAGUCGCACGAGAACGCUUCAGCUUGCUGGAGCUAGUAAAGUGGCGUACGGGUGAGUAACGCGUGGGUAAUCUAUCUCUGAAUUGGGGAUAACAUUGCGAAAGCGAUGCUAAUACCGGAUAAAAUCCAUUAAACCUCGGUUUAUUUGGAUCAAAGGUGGCCUCUACAUGUAAGCUACUGUUUGGAGACGAGCUCGCGUACCAUUAGCUCGUUGGUAGGGUAAUGGCCUACCAAGGCAACGAUGGUUAGCUGGUCUGAGAGGAUGAUCAGCCACACUGGAACUGACACACGGUCCAGACUCCUACGGGAGGCAGCAGUGAGGAAUUUUGCGCAAUGGGGGAAACCCUGACGCAGCAACGCCGCGUGAGUGAUGAAGGCUUUCGGGUCGUAAAGCUCUGUCAAGUGGGAAGAACUCGUGCCGUACAAAUAGUGCGGUGCGCUGACGGUACCACUGAAGGAAGCACCGGCUAACUCCGUGCCAGCAGCCGCGGUAAUACGGGGGGUGCAAGCGUUAUUCGGAAUCAUUGGGCGUAAAGAGCGCGUAGGCGGUCUUCUAUGUCAGGUGUGAAAGCCCGGGGCUCAACCCCGGAAGUGCAUUUGAAACU